rnacentral:rRNA from 1 species
GUUGAACGCUGGCGGCAUGCCUUACACAUGCAAGUCAAACGGCAGCACGGGAGCAAUCCUGGUGGCGAGUGGCGAACGGGUGAGUAAUAUAUCGGAACGUGCCCAGUAGUGGGGGAUAACUGCUCGAAAGAGCAGCUAAUACCGCAUACGACCUGAGAGAGAAAGGGGGGGAUAGCAAGACCUCUCGCUAUUGGACCGGCCGAUAUCAGAUUAGCUAGUUGGUGGGGUAAAGGCCUACCAAGGCAACGAUCUGUAGUUGGUCUGAGAGGACGACCAGCCACACUGGGACUGAGACACGGCCCAGACUCCUACGGGAGGCAGCAGUGGGGAAUUUUGGACAAUGGGCGCAAGCCUGAUCCAGCAAUGCCGCGUGCAGGAAGAAGGCCUUCGGGUUGUAAACUGCUUUUGUCAGGGAAGAAAUCCUCUAGGUUAAUACCCUUGGGGGGAUGACGGUACCUGAAGUAUAAGCACCGGCUAACUACGUGCCAGCAGCCGCAGUAACAC